GACCGUGCGAAGGUAGCAUAAUCAGUAGUCCUUUAAUUGGGGGCUUGAAUGAAGGGUUGGACGAGAGGCAAGCUGUCUCUUUUGUGAAGUUUGAAUUUAACUUUUGAGUGAAAAGGCUUAAAUAANUUAGGGGGACGAUAAGACCCUAUAAAACUUAAUNUAUNUUUAAUUUNACUUUGAUUUAGGUGAAAAGUAGUUUUGUUUAAAUUUAUAUUUUGUUGGGGAGAUGUGGAUAUAAGAUGUAGCUGUCUNANAAAUUUAAUAGUGAUAAUUAGUGUUUGAUCCUUCUUUGNGGAUUAGAAGAGUAAGUUACUUUAGGGAUAACAGCGUGAUUUUCUUUGAGAGUUCUUAUCGACAGGAGUAGUUGCGACCUCGAUGUUGAAUUAAAAUUUUAGUUAGGUGUAGUCGUUUAACUAGUGGGUCUGUUCGACCUUUAAAAUUUUACAU
rnacentral:rRNA from 1 species